rnacentral:rRNA from 1 species
GACGAACCGUGCGAACGUUGUCCGGAAUUAUUGGGCGUAAAGAGCUCGUAGGCGGUUUGUCGCGUCUGCUGUGAAAACCCGGGGCUUAACCCUGGGCUUGCAGUGGAUACGGGCAGACUAGAGUUCGGUAGGGGAGACUGGAAUUCCUGGUGUAGCGGUGAAAUGCGCAGAUAUCAGGAGGAACACCGAUUGCGAAGGCAGCUCGCUGGGACGUAACUGACGCUGAGACGCGAAAGCGUGGGGAGCAAACAGG